AAAAAGGACAGUCGGAAGAAAUUCAAAAGA
rnacentral:piRNA from 1 species